rnacentral:rRNA from 1 species
GAUGAACGCUGGCGGCGUGCCUAAUACAUGCAAGUCGAGCGAACGGACGAGAAGCUUGCUUCUCUGAUGUUAGCGGCGGACGGGUGAGUAACACGUGGAUAACCUACCUAUAAGACUGGGAUAACUUCGGGAAACCGGAGCUAAUACCGGAUAAUAUUUUGAACCGCAUGGUUCAAAAGUGAAAGACGGUCUUGCUGUCACUUAUAGAUGGAUCCGCGCUGCAUUAGCUAGUUGGUAAGGUAACGGCUUACCAAGGCAACGAUGCAUAGCCGACCUGAGAGGGUGAUCGGCCACACUGGAACUGAGACACGGUCCAGACUCCUACGGGAGGCAGCAGUAGGGAAUCUUCCGCAAUGGGCGAAAGCCUGACGGAGCAACGCCGCGUGAGUGAUGAAGGUCUUCGGAUCGUAAAACUCUGUUAUUAGGGAAGAACAUAUGUGUAAGUAACUGUGCACAUCUUGACGGUACCUAAUCAGAAAGCCACGGCUAACUACGUGCCAGCAGCCGCGGUAAUACGUAGGUGGCAAGCGUUAUCCGGAAUUAUUGGGCGUAAAGCGCGCGUAGGCGGUUUUUUAAGUCUGAUGUGAAAGCCCACGGCUCAACCGUGGAGGGUCAUUGGAAACUGGAAAACUUGAGUGCAGAAGAGGAAAGUGGAAUUCCAUGUGUAGCGGUGAAAUGCGCAGAGAUAUGGAGGAACACCAGUGGCGAAGGCGACUUUCUGGUCUGUAACUGACGCUGAUGUGCGAAAGCGUGGGGAUCAAACAGGAUUAGAUACCCUGGUAGUCCACGCCGUAAACGAUGAGUGCUAAGUGUUAGGGGGUUUCCGCCCCUUAGUGCUGCAGCUAACGCAUUAAGCACUCCGCCUGGGGAGUACGACCGCAAGGUUGAAACUCAAAGGAAUUGACGGGGACCCGCACAAGCGGUGGAGCAUGUGGUUUAAUUCGAAGCAACGCGAAGAACCUUACCAAAUCUUGACAUCCUUUGACAACUCUAGAGAUAGAGCCUUCCCCUUCGGGGGACAAAGUGACAGGUGGUGCAUGGUUGUCGUCAGCUCGUGUCGUGAGAUGUUGGGUUAAGUCCCGCAACGAGCGCAACCCUUAAGCUUAGUUGCCAUCAUUAAGUUGGGCACUCUAAGUUGACUGCCGGUGACAAACCGGAGGAAGGUGGGGAUGACGUCAAAUCAUCAUGCCCCUUAUGAUUUGGGCUACACACGUGCUACAAUGGACAAUACAAAGGGCAGCGAAACCGCGAGGUCAAGCAAAUCCCAUACAAGUUGUUCUCAGUUCGGAUUGUAGUCUGCAACUCGACUACAUGAAGCUGGAAUCGCUAGUAAUCGUAGAUCAGCAUGCUACGGUGAAUACGUUCCCGGGUCU